rnacentral:rRNA from 1 species
GGGGGCUUCCGGGGGUUUCACUCCAACCCCUGUGACAUACCACUUGUUGCCUCGGCGGAUCAGCCCGCUCCCGGUAAAACGGGACGGCCCGCCAGAGGACCCCUAAACUCUGUUUCUAUAUGUAACUUCUGAGUAAAACCAUAAAUAAAUCAAAACUUUCAACAACGGAUCUCUUGGUUCUGGCAUCGAUGAAGAACGCAGCAAAAUGCGAUAAGUAAUGUGAAUUGCAGAAUUCAGUGAAUCAUCGAAUCUUUGAACGCACAUUGCGCCCGCCAGUAUUCUGGCGGGCAUGCCUGUUCGAGCGUCAUUUCAACCCUCAAGCACAGCUUGGUGUUGGGACUCGCGUUAAUUCGCGUUCCUCAAAUUGAUUGGCGGUCACGUCGAGCUUCCAUAGCGUAGUAGUAAAACCCUCGUUACUGGUAAUCGUCGCGGCCACGCCGUUAAACCCCAACUUCUGAAUGUUGACCUCGGAUCAGGUAGGAAUACCCGCUGAACUUAAGCAUAUCAAUAAGCGGAGGAAGGU